rnacentral:rRNA from 1 species
UUUUUUCUUAUUAUUAAGCGGAGGAAAAGAAAAUAACCAUGAUUCCCCCAGUAACGGCGAGUGAAGCGGGAAAAGCUCAAAUUUGAAAUCUGGCAACAUUUCUUUUGUUGUCCGAGUUGUAAUUUCAAGAGGCUGCUUUGAGUGUACACGAUUUACCUAAGUUCCUUGGAACAGGACGUCAUAGAGGGUGAGAACCCCGUCUUUGGUAAAUUGGGCGUAUGCCGGAUAAAGCGCUUUCGAAGAGUCGAGUUGUUUGGGAAUGCAGCUCUAAAUGGGUGGUAAAUUUCAUCUAAAGCUAAAUAUUGGCGAGAGACCGAUAGCGAACAAGUAGAGUGAUCGAAAGAUGAAAAGAACUUUGAAAAGAGAGUUAAAUAGUACGUGAAAUUGCUGAAAGGACGAAGCAUUGGAAACCAGUCUUACCCGGGUGAGAUCAGUUGUCUUUUCGCAAGACAAUGCACUCUGAACCUGUUGGUAGGUCAGCAUCAGUUUCUGGGGGUGGAAAAAGGAUUUAGGAAGGUACCUUUUCGGGUUUUGCUUGAAGAGGGUUUAUAGCCUAGAUUGUAAUACAUCCACUGGGGACUGAGGACUGCGAUCUUUAUGGUCAAGGAUGUUGACAUAAUGGUUUUCAAUGACCCGUCUUGAAACACGGACCC